GCUUGCUGCUAAAUUUGUGGCAAAUUGGCCAAAGGUUUGCCCCAACUGUUGUCCGAAGCCAGUUUUUUUGGUAAGGGUUGGGAAAGUUGUCCUAGUCACUGUUGACUAGGGUCGGGUUUUCGAAACUAAGCAUUCAGUUAAUGUACUGACCAUGUCUUUUCCCCUGUUUCGCCUGUAGGGUGCAGCAGCAUAUAUAGUCAACUAUCUGAUGUUCAUGUUCUGGGCUCUACUCCCUUUCCUGGCUGUUAUAUUGGUCUGGGCCUUUGCAUCUUACGCCUGUGGAUCAGGAAUACCAGAGGAAAGAACACUCAUCCUGGCCACUACCCGGUGCUAGAGGUCCUGGUUGUAACUGGAGCUACAGCCCCACUAUCCUUCCCUAACAGGAGCUCCCCUCCUCCUUCCAUCCCUCAUGCACUUCUCUAUGGGACUGUGAAGAGGACACCUGCCCUUUUGGACACCUCCUUUCCCCUGUCUCCUUGCAUCCCGGCAUCUCUCCUUUAAUCCACUGCCCCAUGGGAAUGGGAAGAGGACACCAUCCCCAUAGGAGCGAGACACAUGAAGACUGUCUUGCUUCCCUAAUAAAAGUUGGUACUCUCAAGGGAGGGAAGGAGAGAGUGUUGAAAAAUACGUGGCUACAGACAGAAGAUAUCAUAAUGGCAAAUCAUGAAGGAAUAUGUAUGAUGCUUUGAUACCACUGACACAGACAGGAUGGGAAAAGGAGGGGAAAGAGAGAAGUAGGGAUAAGAAGGGUGAGGAGAGGUGGUGGGAAAGUGCUGACUUAAGUCUUACUUAUACUAGCCACAGUUAGAAACAUAGUAUGGAGCCCCAAGCUAGCUCCAGCCUCCACCUUUCCCCGUCAGAAGACAUGCCCAGACAGAGCACUCCAUCCUGGGCUGAUGGAUGCUUGGGAGCCCCCCUGCCCUCGUUCUUCUGUUCUGGCUUCCUCUGCCCUCAGGGAAGGGGUAGGUUGGGAAAAGAGGAUUCAGACACUUGCGCACACUAAAACACACACCAAAGACUCUCUGGCUGCCUGGGAACUACUCCGAGACAUAUUGAACAGACUGCGAGAGCUGCAAUAUCGCACACAGAGAGAGAGAGAGAGAGAGAGAGAGAGAGAGAGAGAGAGACGUAAACACCAAUCUGUGCCUUCAGGAAUCUUUUAUACAGAUGUCUAUGGUCAUAAUCUCUGUGAGAAGGUAUCAUUAACAAGCAGUGUGUGUGUGUACGAACUGUGUGUCAAAGUGUGUGUGUAUGUAUGUGUCUAAGUGUGUGCGUGCUGAAGUAAAGCUAGAACACAAAAGGGAAACAUCAGUUUAGUAUUCCUCCUAAAAUUGUCCCCAUUACUGCAUAGGUAUGUUUCCAUGACAACCUUGUUGCCUUCGUCAAUUUGAUACGCAACAGGCGUGGGAAAAGGAUGACAACACACACACUGACAAACUGUCCGGUUAUUUGAAUACAAUGCAGUUAAGUACAGGUGACUCCCACAGCUACAACAUAAUGCUAUAGAGAGCUAAAGGGACAAAGAGACUUCACAUGGUGAUCAGGUUACUGACCUGCUCAGAUUCACACAUUCCUCAAACACCUACUUGUUGGAAGACACACACAGGGACACACACGUGUGCGUGUGUUUGAGUCUGCGCUUAUGUGUCCUUAGGUGUGGGAAUAUUUUACAAAAAGUGAAAGUUUGCCAAUAUGGAACAGUUUCUGAGUUGAAAGAUCUAACAUUAAGGAAGUUCACACACACCCAUGUUCCAAGUUAGUCAAGUUGUCAGUUUAACCUUGUCAGUUUAAAUUGUUUGUCAAGUUGCUAAUUUAACAUGGUCAGCUUAAAUUAGUCAAGUUGUCGGUUUAACCUUGUCAGGAAUCUUGUGGUCUUUUC
ensembl:lncRNA